GUGGCGAGGCGGCCUCGCGGGCGGCACGUGCUCGCACUCACCGGCGGGAAGGCCAUCGGCAGCACCGGAGGCGGGCGGGCGGUCCCGGAACGCGGCAAAGGCGAGGUACUUUAUCCUAUUGGCAGAUAUUCCCCCUAUUAUUUCUCCAGGCGACUGACCAGCCCCAGAGCUGGUGUGGAUGGAGAGGCACUCACCCCAUCUCACAGGAGUGAGGCAGCAAGGGAAAAUGGCCAUGGUUCAAGUAGCAGAAUUGGAUAAAGCACCUAAUUAAUGGACAGCAAUUAAUCUUCAGCCCAGAGAGACACUCACUCCAGCCCUCCCUGGGACCCCAACCAUGCUUGGAUCUCAGACCUUCCUGGGGACCCUGCUGCUCUCGUGGAGACCCCAACCCUCAGCAGACAUAGAGAAGACUCCACCUUCUUUCUCCCUAUAAACACUGAUAAAAUCCCGCUGGAAACUCCCUUCUCCCUGCUGAGCUGCCCCAGCUCUUUCAGCUUCCCUUCCUAUGGGAAAUGCUCCAGACCCUUGGUGGCCCUUUGUGGUGUGUCUCCAGUACAUCCCUGUCUCUCUCAUGCUGGACAGCCCGUCACAGCACCCAGCACUUCAGGGGUGCCAGGAUCACUGUGAGUUGGUGACUCACUACCCCUCACUGCAGAUACACUCUACCUCAUCAACUGGACCAGUAGUGAAGAGGCUGAACAGGACUGGACACAGAGUUGACUCAUGGGGUACACCACCAGCCUCAAGCCAGACCUGAUCCAGCCCUUUGACCCAUUUUCAACCCAGCAGUCCACCGAAUAUUCAUUUUUAUGCUCAAAAUUAAAUGCCAGCACUAAAAGAGGCAGAUGUUUGUCUCAGGAGACCAUGGGGAGCAAAGAGCAGCCUCUCCCUUCAAGGUGUGUCAAAGCAGGACAUCACUUGACAGUGCUUUUGAGAAAGUGAGAAAACAACAAAUCAAACAGGGCUGGCACAGGGUUUCCAUGCAAGUGUUUAUUGCCACACAGGAGGAAUGACAAAUCACUGGUGCAGUUCCAGCCCCCAGGCGAGGAUGCUCCAGCCCCAGGAGCACCGUCAGCUCCAUCACUGCAGCGCUGGGGACACCUGGAAGAAAGAAGAGGUUUGGGAGCAAGGUGCCAAGGUGUCCCAGGCAGCACCUGCUCUGGUGGUGUCACCCACCAUGGCAGCAGCGAGGUGGCCCAGCCCCAGGAGGGCGAGGGCGAAGUGGAUGCAGUUGCAGGCGAUGGGGUCGUACUCCACGGGCUGCUCCAUGGCCGCGCGCACCCGGCGCUGCAGGGCAGCCACGUCCAGCCCUCCCUUCCUGCGCAGCACCCGGGCCGGGCCCCGCGCCCGCAGCAGGUGGCUCUUGCCGUGCUUAGCCACGAUGCCUGACGGUGACAUCCCCGAGCUGCCUGCAGGGCAAAGUGGGCUCUGUACCCCAUGUCCCUUCCGUGGAGAUGUUCCUAUGCUGUGACUCCUCCUGGGCUCACCUUCCAGGUGGAUGAUCUCCCCGUCACCACAGUAGAUGCCAGCGUGGGCGCCCCACCAGCCAGGGCCCCCCGAGGCCAGAGGGAAGAGGAAGAGGUCCCCAGGCUGGGGCUCAGCCGCUCCGUUGGGGACCGUGUUGAAGUGUUGUCCUAGCAGCCCCUCGCAGAGGAAGAACCCUGCCGUGGUCACUGCCCCAGUCACUGCCUGGGGACCCAGCCAUGUUUCAGGGCCACUGGCAGCAUCACUGACCUGCUGGCUCAUCCCACAUCCUUGGUGCCUUAAGCACAGCUUGGGUCUAGGGUCUCCAUGGAUGGAAACCCUCUGGGAAGGGGCUGCCUCCUCUAUGUGCUGAAGCACCCGUGGGUGCUGAGGAAAAGGCAGGGUGUGCAGGAUUCAUCCCAGCUGUGCCAGGGGUGAGACAGGCAGUGCAGGGCACAGGGGCAAUGCCAGCACUUACCUGCCUGGAGCUGCUCACCUGGAGGGACAAACACCUUGCAUCAGCCACAGUGGCACCCAUGUCAUGGCUCAGUGCUGGCCUGGGCUGCUGCCACCCCCUGCCCAAGCACCUGGCUGGGAUUCUCACGCCAGCACCCCCAAACCUGCCGCACCGAGGAGCCCAGCCAGUGCCAGGGCUGGAGGAACAGCCAGUCCGGGGCUUGCAGGGUCUGAAGGAAGGAGCUCACCUGUGGGAGAGGGAGCAGGGCAAGACCUGUCCUCUUCUGACACCCAUCCCCUGCCACCAGCCAUCUCUGCCAGCACGUAGCCCAGCCCAGCCCAGCCUCCCAGGCCACUCAUCCUCCUCCCCACCCUGCCCAGACUCAGCACCAGGCAGGUCCCAGCUCUGGGGUCCAGGGGCACUGGGUACAGUGCAGAGGAGUGGGAUCACCUGGAUGCAGGUGUCCUUCCUGCCAGCUCCCCCUUUACCUGGGCGAGGAGAUUCAUCUGCAAGGAGAAAACACGAUGUUCCAGGAGCUGGGGGCAGGUACCCCACACCUCGGGGACUUCUCUGUCCCCACAGUUGUGAUGACAGGUCACCCUGCUGAAACCCAAGCUUCAGCCUCAGUGCUCGUUCUGUGCCCUGCUGCCUCACCUUGGGGUCACCUCCAAGGUCCCCUCAGUCCACUGUGUGUCCCAAGCUGCCGCUGCUCCAAAGGUGGCUGCGGGGCAGGACCUCAGCCCGCCCCAGCAAGCACCACGGUGGCUCUUGGCACCGGCACAUGGCUGCACCAGUGCCUGGGAAUGUGCCCAGACCGGCUGCACCGUGGCACUGUGCCCAUCUUGUAGGGCCAGUCCCAGGGGGACAAACCCAACCUGGUGUGACAUUUCAUCCACAAACCUCUUGAGUGACCCCAAAGGAGUCAUGAAACAGCCCCGUGGCCGCAAUGCCCUGGUAACCUGUGAACACUAGGCUUAUGACAAAUCACCUCUUGGUGCUAAAAUCCUCUGGCCCUGGGUGGCCAUCAGUCUGUAUCCAGCCCCAUGUCAUAGGAAUGGCCACCAGCCUGUCCCCAGCCCUGUCACCCCAGAAUGGUGCAUGCCUGGGGUCAGCUCCAGAGUCGCAUUAAACUUUAAUCCUGGUGCCAGGGGUCAGUGAAGGCUUUAGCAGGGCUCAGGUGAGUGACUGUCACCCUCUGUCAUCGGGCAACCUCCAAAGAAUCAUUUAUCAGGAAGCCUCCAAUAAACAAGAGCUGAAUAAACAGGUGAAACCUG